rnacentral:rRNA from 1 species
GACGAACCGUGCGAACGUUAUUCGGAAUCACUGGGCUUAAAGCGCGUGUAGGCGGGCCGGCACGUCGGUGCUGAAAGCCCCCGGCUCAACCGGGGAACGGGCGCCGAUACGACCGGCCUGGAGGGGCGUAGGGGGAUCGGGAACUUCCGGUGGAGCGGUGAAAUGCGUUGAGAUCGGAAGGAACGCCCGUGGCGAAAGCGCGGUCCUGGACGCCUGCUGACGCUGAGACGCGAAAGCCAGGGGAGCAAACGGG